CUUCAUCCGACACCCUCGAGACGUUUCCGGUCUUCUGAACAUACCUAUAUCCUGAGGGAGAAGAUAAAGAAGAACGUGCAUAUGAUUACGCGGAUAAAAGUUCAGGAGGACAUACGUACUACAUAAGUCAAUAAAUACGUUGGACGCACAUCUUGGACUUCUCUCCGUGAGGGGUCAAA
rnacentral:lncRNA from 1 species